rnacentral:tRNA from 1 species
CUCUCCGUUUAGUGGUUAGAGCGUAGGUCUCGUAACCGAAAGGUUGCGGGAUCGAAUCCCGCUAGAGA